CCCUUAGAUGUUCUGGGCCGCACGCGUGCUACACUGAGUGGAUCAGCGGGUCAGGUUGCGCGAAAGUGUUUCCUAAUCUUGAAAUCCGCUCGUGAUGGGGAUUGACGGUUGCAAUUUUCCGUCAUGAACGAGGAAUACCUUGUAAGCGCGGGUCAUCAUCCCGCGCUGAAUACGUCCCUGCCCUUUGUACACACCGCCCGUCGCUCCUACCGAUUGAGUGGUCCGGUGAGGCUUUGGGAUCUGAGCAAAGAGAGCGUUUCGCUCGUUUUGCCCGGAAAACUCAGUCGAACCUUAUCAUUGAGAGGAAGGAGAAGUCGUAACA
rnacentral:rRNA from 1 species